AAGGAUGGGUCUGCGGCCUAUCAGGUAGUAGUGGGUGUAGCGUACCUACUAGCCAACGACGGGUACGGGUUGUGAGAGCAAGAGCCCGGAGAUGGAUUCUGAGACACGAAUCCAGGCCCUACGGGGUGCAGCAGGCGCGAAAACUUUACAAUGCUGGAAACAGCGAUAAGGGGACCUCGAGUGCCAGGUUACAAAUCUGGCUGUCGUGAUGCCUAAAAAGCAUUGCAUAGCAAGGGCCGGGCAAGACCGGUGCCAGCCGCCGCGGUAACACCGGCGGCUCGAGUGGUAACCGUUAUUAUUGGGUCUAAAGGGUCUGUAGCCGGCCGGAUAAGUCUCUUGGGAAAUCUGGCAGCUUAACUGUCAGGCUUUCAGGAGAUACUGUCUGGCUCGAGGCCGGGAGAGGUGAGAGGUACUUCAGGGGUAGGGGUGAAAUCUUGUAAUCCUUGAAGGACCACCAGUGGCGAAGGCGUCUCACCAGAACGGACCUGACGGCAAGGGACGAAAGCUAGGGGCACGAACCGGAUUAGAUACCCGGGUAGUCCUAGCCGUAAACGAUACUCGCUAGGUGUCGGCCACGGUGCGACCGUUGUCGGUGCCGUAGGGAAGCCGUGAAGCGAGCCACCUGGGAAGUACGGCCGCAAGGCUGAAACUUAA
rnacentral:rRNA from 1 species